CAUUGUCUUUAAAUUUUUUCAAUAAUGCAAUUGCCUUGUCAACAUCAUGGCUUUUGCAUAAAGCAUCCAAUAUAGAAUUGUAAGUAUAUAUAUUAGGUGGUUGGCCCCUAUCAUGCAUCUCACCAACAGGCUCCAAAGCAUAUGUAAUUCUCCCCGAUUUGCACAAACCAUCAAUGAGGGAAUUGUAAGUUACCACAUCAGGAACAAUUUUUUGGGACUGCAUUUCUUUGAAGAGGAUCAUGGCUUCAUCCACCAUUUUAUUCUUGCAGAGUCCAUUAAUCAUGAUAUUGUAGCUCCUAACGUCAGGAGCCACUCCCCUUUGGGCCAUAAUGUUGAGUAUACUCUUAGCCUUGUUCACUUCAUUAACGAGGCAAUAUCCAUCUAUUAAACAGUUGUAAGUAACAAUAUCCGGCUUUAUGUCAUUUUUCAUCAUCACAAGAAACACAUUUUUAGCUUCUUUCAACUUCCCUUCCUUACAAAAAGCAUCAACCAAUAUAUUAAAAGUAUACACAUUUGGAUUGAUGUUUUCCAAUGUCAUUUUAUAUAACAAAUCAAUUGCUUCUUUUAAUUGACCCAUGAUGCAAAAGCCACUAAUUAGUGCAGUGUAAGUUUAUCUUUGCACAGACUAUCAAUAAUCGUGCUGUAAAUUACCACAUUAGGUUGAACCAAUUUCCCAUCAACUCGUCUCAGCAACUCUAGAGAGAAAAACCCUUGUCAUGAAACCCUUGUCAUUGAUCAAAGUCCCGUAACUAACGUGAUUCAACUGAAAUCCUUGUGCUACCACCUUGUCAUGAAAGUGCAAUGCUUUAUGAACCUCACCUUUGAGUGAGAUACCCUUGAUUAGUGUUGUGAAAGUUAUUGUAUUGGGAUGAUAACCCCUUUUGAAAAUCUUUGAGAAAACAGAAAACAAUUGGCAUAAACAAUUGAUUAAGAGAUUGCAAGUUACAAAGUCAGGGUUGAUUCCCCUUAGUUCCAUUUGUUGAGAAAGGGAAAUAGCGAUUGAGUAAUGCUUAGCUUUCACAAUGGAACCUAAAAUCUUGCCAAAUUCAAUGGGUGGUGGGGUAGGAUUCUUAUGGAGCAAAGAAUUGAACAAUGAAAUGGAAUUGUCAAGAUGAGGAUUAUUGAAUUGAGGGAAUAGGGUUGAAGCUGAGAAGCAAAAAGAGGGAAUGAAAUUAAAAGGAAGAAACUUUUUGGGAAUGAAAAGAGAAACAAACCUGAACCUAGUUGAAAACAAAAACAUUGUUUGUUGUGGUUGCAAGUGGCUGCGAUAAACAAAAUCAUAUGUUAUAUAUAGCUUUUUAUCAAACUCUCUUAUAUCUCUCGUUAUCACUUGAGAUUGAUUUUUGGAACCACAAAAUACAAAUAAUAAUAAUUAUAAUUGACUAUUUUAAAUAAUAAUUAAAUAAUUGAUUUUGCUAAAUAACUUGACAUUUAAAUAAAAAAACACAUUAAACAUUAAAGAAAAUAUUGCUUUCUUUCGUAGAGAUUCAUUAAAGAGACACAAUUUGUUAUUGAUGAGUGUAUUAUUCUCACACAUAGAGUUUGAGUCUUCUAUUAAAGUUUAAUUUUGUAUUGAUAAUAAUAUAAAUAAAUUUUAUAAACUCUACUAGAAUUUGAAGUACAUUGGUUCUAAAUAAGUUUUGAUAUAUGCCAUAUAAUACUAACUAUAAUCUUUAUGCCCAAUAUGUAUGUCUUUUGGUUCUAGUGUAAAACAAAUAAUUUUAAAACUUUUGUACUUUGAGAACUAAAUGUGUUGUCAUUGUCUCUCGUAUUAGUAGCAGAAGAAGAUAGUGUCAUCAAUUAAUUAUUCAAAACAAUGACACUUGUUUUAUUUAAAAAUAACAAAAAAAUAUCAUUAUUUAUAAUUUCAAUUACAAUUCUGAAAUUAGUGAUAUUAUUGAGGAUUUUUAAAAUAUAUAAAAAAAAUAUUUAUAGUUGAAUGAGUAAAAAAAAACAAUCAUGGUUGCUUAACCUAGUUGCCCAGAUUAAAGAGACAUAUGUUGAUACACAUAUAAUACACCAUUGAAGUUUCUUUCCAAUUUUCAAAAUAUUCAUCAAUUUUUUUAAUAUAUAAGCAUGUUUUUAUACAAUUAAAUCAUAAACAAAUUUGAAUUGAAUAUUAUAUAAUAAAAAAAAAUAAACUUAAAUUAUUGACAUUGAAUUUUGUCAUCAAAGACAAACCCAACUGGAAACAAUUUAAUUAUAAAUAAAUGCAUUUGAAACCAUUUUUAAAAAUUGUUUAUUGUGGGUAUUAACACAUGAAAAUCAAAGUUGUUUAUAAAAAAAAAUUAUUUUUAAACCCUAAACCCUAUUAUUUGAUUUCCUUAUUAUUUGAAAGCAAAAGGAGAACAAUCAUACCUUCCAUCUAUAUAUAUUGAAAUGAAAAUCGUGUAUAUUCUAAUUGAUAACCUAUAUAAUAUUUAUUGUAUUUGAAAGAAAAUAUUUAUUUAAAAAAUUUGAAUUGAAUUAUUUAGAUUGAUUAGAUUUUAAAAAUCAAUAAAGUUUCAACGUCUUCUUCUUCAAAAAAAAAAAAGCUUUAAUGUCAAUUUCGUUGUUUUAACAAGAAUUUAGUUUUGGUGACUACAAAUAAAAAAACUUUUUCUCCUUAUUAAAUUGAGAAAAAACAAACGUUGUAUCAAAGAUAUUUCUAGUAACAUUAUAUAUACCAAUUAAAUUUAAAAUGAAUUUAAUAUCUAUAAAUGAUAAUUGUAAGAAAUAUUUUAUGUAUAAUUAAGUGAUUAAACUUAUAUGGUUAAGUUAAUGAUAAAUUGUUCUAGAAAAUAUGAGUGUAAAUUUUAAUAGAAGGAAUUUUUUAUUGCUUGUUAUGGGCAGAUUAUUUGAGUAAAUCUCUAAUUGUGUCUAUAAAAUAUUGAUCAAUAUGAAGUGAGUAAGAUUCAUUAGGUCAACUGAGAGAAGAUGUAUUUGUCUUUAGAGAAGGGUGGAUUAGGAGUUUGAGAUUUGAAAGUUUUUAAUAAAGUUUUAUUAGAUAAAAGGCGUGGAGGUUAAAAAUGGAGUUAGAAGGUCUCUGAAUAAAAAUGUUGAUCAAUAAAUAUAGAGUGGAAGUUAGGGGAUGUAUUGAAUAUGAAUGGUUUGAUAAAAAAAUUGUUUACAAUUAUUGGGAAUUAGAGUAAUAUUUUGUUUCAGAAGGAUCCGUGGUUGGUUGGUAGGGUUUUGUGUGAGAAAUUUAGUGGGUCGUUUUAUUUGUCUUUGCAACAAGAGCAAAGUGUAGAGAUCAUGUUAGAGUUGUUGCGAUUGGAGGGUAGAGAUGACAAAUGCAGUUGUUUGUGUGAGAGAAGGAAUUAGUGGAACAAUGUAGGAUUUUAUUGGCUAACGUUCAUUUGCUGGUUAAUGUAGUAGAUAAGUGGUCGUGGAAUAAUACGGAAAGAUAAUUAUAUUCAGUAAAGGAGACAUAUUUUGUGUUGCGGGAGAAGUUUUCUGCAGAUGUCAUCGCACCUCCAUUUUAAGACCUAGUGUGGCAUUCUUUGGUUCAUUCAAAAGUAUCAUUAUUUAUUUGGAGACUGUUUCAAAAUAGGUUGUCUACAAAGGAUAUUUUGUUCCAAUGAGGAAUCAUUUCUUUUGAAGAUCAACAAUGUAUAGCAAGUUGCAGGGAAGUUGAAACAACUCAUUGUUCGCUCUUUGUGUGUCCUCUUUUUGAAUCCAUGUGGUAUGAUGUUUUGAAUUGGUUUGGACUAUCUGAUGUGUUUCCUAUGGAUGCAAUCAAUCACGCUAACCAAUUUGAUGGUCUUUUCCGUGCGGUCGUGUAUUGCAUCAAAGAAUUAAUUUAGUUUGCUUUGUGGUUAGAGGACGAUUUGAAAAUCAAGAAAUGUGGCAAUUUUUUGUUCAUAUGUAUUGAAUGCAAAUCUUAUUAUUGAGCAAGUUAAACUUUUAGCAAUGAGGUUGAUUGUGACACUCUAAACUCCGAAGUAGCAUAUAUAUAAUAAUUUAUACAAGAUUUUUUUGAGAAAAAUUUACAACAGAUAAAGAAAGUUUAUUUCCAUGUAAAUAAAAUUUUUAUAAUUAAUUUAGUAUAUCUUUAACAUCCCGCUUUUUCGGGACAUUAACUAACAGAAAUCCUAAACGUAAAAUUACAAAUUCAUUAUUUAUUUAUUUAUGAUUGUCUUAAAUACCCAUUUACUUUAAAAUCAUUUAAUAACUAUUUUAAUUAUAUUUCAUCAUAUAAUAAAUUAGAGUAUUUGCAAUUACUAAAAGUAAAUUUAAUACAUUAAACAAAAGAAACUCCUAGAGUCAAAACUCUCAAUAUUUUACUACCUAAACAUAAAUCCUAGUUGGUCAUAAACUUUGGACUUGUGGAAAACUCACCAAACAAGUCUAACACUGAUACAGAAGUAUCUUGGAGCCUCUAACUGCAUGCUAUUUUACUUUAUCGCAUUUCUCCUAUUAGGUUGAUCGUGACGUUAUUUGCUCAAGUAACACUGUAUGUGACGUCCUGUCAAAUGUAAGGGUCAUCUCCAAAUAACAAACACAGAGCAAACAUGCAUGUAUAUAUAGUUGCUAUAGCAAAAUAUAAAUAAAUCAGUUACUUCAUUUAACAGUUAAAAUCACAACGCACCAAAGAUACAAUGACAAUUAAAAGAUAAUAGUACAAUGUUUACAUAAUUAAUAACAUUAAUUCACCAAUCCAAGAGGUACAAUAACAAUAAAAUAUAGAAGUACUAUAUCACAUAUUUAACAACGUUAACUCACCCAAAAGAUACAAUGUAUAAAACACUAGUCACACUUUAAGCAACGCAUACCCAAACAGACCUUAUUACUUAAUCUAUAUGCCAAUAUAAUGAUUCCGGAAUAUCGCCUCCCCCACAAUGGCAUUUCGUGGGUCCUUCCAAGCAACACCACUAACUCGAGCUUCGUGGGUCCUUCCAAGCAACACCACUAGCUCAACAUCCCCGCAAGGAUCUGUGGCCUCCAACCGAUUAUGGACGCACCACUACACGACUAUGAAUGAAUGCAUGAAUGUGGACACCUUAAUAAAAUAUAAUGAGAUACUAACUUAUUAACGACAUAUCACAUAACAUUUAUUAUUCACCCUUUGAAUAUGUUCACACAACCAUUAUAACACCAUAUCACAUAACAUUUAUUUUCCACACUUUGAAUAUGUUCAACACAACCAUUAUAACAACACAUCACAUAACAUUUAUUCUUCACACUUUGAAUAUGCUCAGCACAACCAUUAUAACAACAUAUCACAUAACAUUUAUUUUCCACACUUUGAACAUGUCAAGCACAACAAUUAUUAAUAUUCAUUUUGAAUAUAACACACAAACAAAAACAAUAAAUAACAUCACAGUACAUUUAUAUCACAUAUAAUUCAAAUAGGAAAGCGAAUGGAGUGAUGCCCUUACCAUUACUAGAGUUAUAUUUAGAAUUAUGCUUUACAAACUCUUGUCUCACUCAUUUCACACCUGCUGCUGUACGAGCACGGUUUCUCCCUCUCGGAAUGUCAUUUCGCCGAUCCGACCGUUGAAAACGUGAAUCUAAAUGUUGCGAACCUGCUGUCCAAAACUCAGCCCGAUCUAACGGUUAACGAAUGCGCAAUGGAUGAUUUUCUGAUACUGAUUUAACAAAUUCGGGAAUGGAGUUACUCCUGUCUUUUCUCUUUUGGUGGUUGUCUUUUCUAUCAAAGUGAUCUCUCUCUUUUUCUCUCAUAAACCUUUCCUUUGAGAGUGUUUUUUUAAUGGAAGACGUCUGUUUUGUUUUUGUUUCCUUUUUGUCAAAGGAUGAACUUUAAGCCACAAAUGGGAAACGUUAAGCCAGAAGCGGAGGACGUUAAGGCAGGAGUGGGAACCUUAAAACAGAAGUGGGGAACGUUGACAGAAGUGGAGAAAGUUAAGGUGGGACCUUAAGCCAGGCGUGGAGAACGUUAAGGUGGGUAACGUGGUAUUAAAUGGAGAAAGUGAUAUUUCAACUAAGACAUUUUUAACCGUUCCUUUUAUUAUUAUUAUUAAUAAUAACUAAAACAUUGCAGUUAUCACGUUCCUCUAAAUAUACAUGUAACAAUUUAAAUUUAUUUAUCAAUUAAAACAUUGCAAUUUUAAUUAACUUGACUUAACUAUAAUUUCUUAAUUUAAUUCCAAAAACUUAGUAGUACUUAUAUAGUUUUCAUACAACUCUUAUUCUCGGUAUCAAUUAUGAGAGCGGAAUUUCUCUCGAACUUGAACUUUAAGAAUCAUUAAUUCGUAAUAACUGCGAUUUCGAAAACACAGGGCCAAGUCAAUCAAACACAAACAACGAAUGAGGUGAAUUUCGAAAGCAUGUUGGUAGUAUAAUGUAAGUAACAAGAACACACAAUUAAUCAUAAUAAAAUUAUUUCAUCACACAAAUAUUCCUAAAAAAAAAAAUCACAUUAUAAAGUUAAAAUCUCUAAAGGAAAAUCAAAAUAUUUCACAAAUUAUCUCAGAGAAAUUAUUAUUGCAUGCGAUACAUAUUAAUCACAACAAAACAAUCACAAGAAAAUGCAACGAUAUGCAUGAGCUUAGACUCUACUUCACAAUGUGGUACCAUUCUAACUCUGAAGUAUUUGGUUAUGAGGUUUGAUACUAUGCCACUACCCGAGUGGACGGACAAUUCAAAUUGGUCCUGUCUUCAAAGAUCUCUAAACUCAAUCCGAGACACAUAUAUGCGACAAUUGAGGUAAACUUGUGUUGCAUGGUAGCUCUUGAUAUUUGGAGCGUUACCUCCAAGUCACCUAGGAAUUCCCCACCUGAAUACCUCUAAGGUCUAACAAUUUUGCUUUAAGGUUCAACAAUAGACCACCACGAUAAGAUUCAUUUAGUUGUAUUUCCCCAAAAUCAUUAGGUUUGUCAGACCAUACCUAUAUGAUGAUAAAAUAUUCUCCAUUUUAAAAAUUAUCAACAUCUAUUUUCUCCCUUCAUUUGUCUAGACUACUCCAUUAAGAGCAUUAUACAAGUUGAAAUCAUCACUAUUUCAUGGGUUACUUCAAAAUUUCUAUCACAAAUUUAUAAUAUCACUAACAUCAUGAUCACAUAAACUUAUUACAAAUUUAUAGCAUCACUAAUUAAUCAUAAAUCAUCAUUAUCACAUAAAUUUAUCACAAAUUUAUAAUAUCACUAUCAUAAAUCAUAUAUCAUUAUCAUCAUCAAAGAAUUUUACAUCAUGCAUUGCAUCCAUAUUUUAUUAUCACUUUACAUAAACUCAUCUAAUCGGACAUAUGCACCAAAUUCAUUUGAAAUAAAAUAUCACAAUAAUAUCAAAUAUCACACAUUUAACGAAAUUAAAUCAAUCAACACCUUAUAAAUAUUUAUAUUCCAUAUUUUAAUCACAUAAUUUUUAUAUUUGCACAUUAAUUAAUUUAUCAAUCAAAGGGAUAUUGCCGUACGUAGCGACCUCCGUAUGAAUCGUUGAGAAAUACGGUUUUCCCGUUAAUCUCACAAUAUAUUAUGUUCAUAAACUCAAACGCUCUCUCACGCCUUACCUUAUUUAGCUUUGUCAAACACAAAAAUCAAUGGAAGUGUUUAAUCGCAAUUGUAGAUAAGCAACGUACAACGAGCGAGUCUGAAUAAACGGCGAGUUCAAAAAAUCACCAUGAUGUGACUGAUAAAUUAUGCGGAGCAUAUUAAAUACUCAAUAAUAAUUUUUGCAGCAAAAUGAAGUCAAAACGACAUAAAAAGUCUCAUCGACUCGUCGGAGCGCCGUAAGGGUAUGACGUCAACUUUACUGAAAAAUGCAAAAUGAGUAGUGUUUCAUGAAGGUUUCGACGCGAGGAAUGCAAAAACUCUGCCAAUGUUUUGAGAUGAUAAACGUGAUGAUUGACCAAAAUAGCUCGCCCAAGGAAAGAAACGCAAUUAUUUUUAUGAAACAGAGCCACGAUCGAUAAAAUUGAUGUCAAAAAUGGAUUUAGUGGCCGAUUUUGGGUGGGAUCGAUUCAAAUAACAAGGAAUUGAUGGGAGUGAAUUUGAGAGAAAAAGGGUUUAGUGUUGCGGUUGCUCUGUUUUUUAUUGCAGAUGGAGGGGUGCAGAUAGCAUAUGGACAAAUAGAAGAGUAAAACAAUCUGUAAGCCGAACACAUGAGCGUCCUCUGUGACAGAAAUUGGGGUGUAAUAAGCAACCCGUAGGUGUAGGAAAGAAACGUCCAACCAAUAAUAGCCAAAUUAGGCUAAAUUACAUUCGUGGUCCUUUAACUUUGUUUUUUUUUUUCUUCCCAUUUCAGUAUUUUAUCUUUUGAAAUAAUUUCAAUUUUACCCUUUAAGUGAGAUUCCGUUAAGGCAACGUUAACAAAUUCCCUCAUCCGUUUUCUUUCCAGUUUUUUCUCUUUGAUAUUUCUAAAUCUCUUGUUUGGUAUUCUCAUCUCCACUGAUUUCCCUCUUCUCAUUUUUGUCUUCUUAUUUUCCUGUUUUCUUCUCUCAUCUCCACUGAUUUCCCUCUUCUCAUCUCCGUGAAAUCGUUUUCCUCUGCGUGUUCUUCUCUUGUCCCACUCGUUUUUGUCUUAUCAUUUUCUUCUUCCAUCCAUGAAAAAUCAUAUUCACGGUUCCCAAAACUCAAAAUCCAUGGCCGCCUCAUGUUCAAAUGGGUCAAAUACACAGUCCUACAACUAUGGUUCUUUCGUUUCCAAUGGAAUUCGUGAGCUGCCAAAUUGUGCUUGUGGUUUGAAACAUGUGUUUCGCACAGUGACAAAAUGAGGUCCGAACAGAGGAAGAAAGUUUUGGGGUUGUAGGAAUUUUGUGGUAAGCAAUAAUACCCUUAUGGUUUUCAAUAUUUUAGUUGAGGUUGUUAGAUUAGAUUUUGGGAUUUUGUUUUUCAUAAUGGUUUUCUCAUAUUAGGGUUUUAGAUUUAUGGUUUUUUGGUUCAGAUUAGAAAUUUGUUUAUUGUUGAUUUGUUAUUGAUGUUGUCUUUGUUCAUCAAUUGUAGAGUCAUGAUAUUGAAUGUAGAUGCAAUUACUUUGUUUGGGAUUCAGACUAUAUGCCUCAAACACAACAGAGAACUCCACAACAACUACAUACACAAUGUUUAGAGUGCCCCCAAAAGGAGUUGGAGAUUAUGACUCUUAGGAAUGUCAUUUUGAAGAUGCAUGGAGAUCACAAGUCAACCAUUAUUAAGAUGAAGUUGCUGCUAUUUUUAUGUGUUUUGUUUGGUGUAGCAUGUGUUGUUUUAUUGUUGAUCUUAGCUCUAAAAUGAGCUUAUUGUAGUAGAUGUAAUUUUCUUGAGGUUGAUGUAGUAGAUUUGUUGUAAGUAUGUAGUUAUGAUAGAGUUUGUUGUAUGGAAUUUGGAACUAUUAAUGUAAUUUUCUUUUGCAUCAAUUGUGGCUCCAAUGUUCUUGGUUGUUAUUUCUUUAAUUAUUACUGUCAAUAUAAUGUUUGGUUUGUCUGCAGUUGUAUUAUUAAACAUUAGAUUUAAAUUGAUGAAAAUCAGAAAGUCAACACGGUGCUAUGAAUCUCAGAAAAUCAGAAUUGAGAUCCAUAAAUGAUUCAUUCAUAAGGAAUGCAUAAUCAAUAAUUCUGUUUCAGGUGGUACAAAACGGCAUACAAUGUUCAUAAAUCAUUUCCUGCAUAAUUCAUUCAUAAUCCAUAAUUCUGUUUCAAGUGGUACAAAACAGCAUACAAUGUUCAUAAAGCAUUUCCUGCAUAAUUCAUUCAUAAUCCAUAAUUCUGUUUCGGGUGAUACAAAAUGACAGAAAGUGCUUGACUAACAAAAAGUGAUCAUAAACUAGCAAAAAGUGACAGAUCCUAAUAUUACAAUUUCCAUGUUUUGAACUUUGGUCUAAAAGUGCUUGAAUGAGCUUGAGCUUGAGCUUGUGCAGGCUGGGACUGAGCUUGUGCAGGCUGGGACUGGGACUGAGCUUGCUGGGACUGGGACUGAGCUUGCUGGGACUGGGACUGAGCUUGCUAGGACUGGGACUGGGACUGGGACUGAGCUUGUUGGGAUAGACCUUGUGCAGAUUGUAGUUUGCAGGGUCUUCCUCUGCGUUUGACAGGUUGUGUGGGUUGGUUUUUCUUGGGUCUUCCUCUGGUUUUGAUAGGUUGUGAUUGGGCUUGGGCUUGGGUCUGGGCAGCUUUAAUUUGGGUUUGAACAACUUCAGUUUGGGCUUGGACAACUUCAGUUUGGGCUUGACCAACUUCAGUUUGAGACUGGCUUUCUUGGGUUUGGCUUGGACAUGAUGCCUUGUUAUGACCAGAUUGUUUACAGCUGCUGCACUUACUUGACAUCCCUUUCCUACUAAUCAUUGUCGAGUCCUUAUUUUUUUCAUCGCCAUCUUUGUUCCUUGACCUUUUGGGCCUUCCUGGAAGCCUUCUUGAUGGUGGCGGUAAGACAUCAGGAUAUGGAGUUUAAGCCCAUAUAUUUUGUCCAUUUGUUGGGUAAAUAACAGGUCGGUAACAUGCGACAUAUGUCUCUCGCAUAUAAUAUGUUGGAAUCAAGUCUUCUGGAUCUUUUUUGAGGAAGUUGCAACAACAAACUGCAUGGCAGCAGGGAAUUCCAGUGAGCAUCCACUUCAUACAUGAACAUUCUCUAUUUUUCAGUGAUACCAUAAACUUGUCUCCUGUGUGGUUGAUGUUACUAACUCCAAAUAUAUUUUCACCAGCAUACCUUGUUCAAUAAGAAUAAGAAGAAUUAACACAUGAUUUCAUAACAGAGUCAGAAUCAGAACAGAAUCAGAUUUCAGAGAUGAACAGAAUCAGGAAAAUGAUCAGAAUCAGAAAUCAUAAUUCAGAAUUCAGGCAGAUUUCAAAAUAACAAGAUCAGAAUUAUAGAAUUCAGGCAGAAAUCAAGAUCACAAUCAGGCAGAAAUCAGGUAGAAUUCAAUAUUACCUACACAACCAGGCAGAAUUCAUAGCAUAAACAUGAUCAGAAUCAGGCAGAAUUCAUAGCAUAAACAGGAUCAGAAUCAGGAUCACAAUCAGGCAGAAUUCAUAGCAUCAACAGGAUCAGAAUCAGGAUCACAAUCAGGCAGAAUUCAUAGCAUCAACAGGAUCAGAAUCAUGCAAAAUCAGGCAGAAAUCAUAACUCAGAAUUCAGGCAGAUUUCAGAAUAACAGAUUUCAGAAUUCAGGCAGAUUUCAGAAUAAUAAACAUGUUUCAAAAUCAUAGCAUAAUAAACAUGUUUCAAAAUCGAUUUCAGGCAGAUUUCAGAACCAUAGAAUUAAAAAACAGAACAAAACCAAAGCAUAAAAAACAAUAUUACCUACACAACCACAUUCUUGAUAAUUCUUGUUCCUUUGCUAACUUUUUCUUGAUUUGAGGCAGAACAGAACAAGUGUACCUUUCCAAUGUAGUUCUAUUUCUAGCCCACCUUUCCAUUAAGUACAAUUUGAUGUCUUCAAACAUUGUCACUAUGGGUUUUCCUCUAGGUCCAAUUAUGACACUAUUGAAUGGCUCUGACAUAUUAUUAACAAGCACAUCACAUUUAGAAUUGAAACUAAAUCUUGACUUUGACCAAAACCUUGGAGGAAUCUUCACUAAAUAUUUGUAGGCCUCUUCGUUAACUUUCCUCAACUCUUUCAUUUCUCUUUCCCAUGCUUGAUGAUAUGUUGACUUGGCUGCCUUCCACAUCAAUUCCUUAAGCUUCUUCCUUGGGUGAAUUUUUCUGAAGUUGUUAUACAGGUGUCUUACACAAAAUCUUUGUUCCACCCCAGGAAGCAACUCAUCCAUUGCAGGCAAUAGUCCCUUACAUAAACAACAAAAAAUAAUGAAUAUGGACUUUAAUGUGUGCUCUAAACCGAAUUACCAAAACAGAAAAUAUGCAGCUUUCUAAAUUCUGCAGCUUUCUAAACAGAAUUAGCAAAACAGAAUUCUUUCCCUGCCUCAUUGACCAACAGAAUUACCAGGAUGAUUUGAUGACAGAAAAGUAGAAUGCAGAAUCAUACAGAAUUACUAAAACAGAAAUAUGCAACUUGCAGUCUUGCACAAAACAGAAUUAUUAAUCUAACAGAAUAACAAAUCUAACAGAAUUACCAAAACAGAUUUACCAAUCUAACAGAAUAACCAAAACAGAAUUUUCAAUCUACCAAUCUAACAGAAUUACCAAAACAGAACUUUAAUGAGUACCUUUUGCUGAUCAGAUAUGAAGGUGUAGGACUUGCAUGCUUGUUGUCCACCCAAGUCAUUAAUUAAUAAUUUAAGGAACCAAGUCCAUGAAUCUCUUGUCUCACCUUCAACUACAGCCAGCUUUCUAUUUGAUGCUAAAAAAUAUGCAUCCUGCAACUUUCUAUUUGAUGCUAAAAAAUAUGCAGCUUGCAGUCUUGCACAAGGUGACUAGGAUAUGUAUUUCCAAUCUAAACUAAAUUACCAAAACAGAAUUACCAAUCUAACAGAAUUAACAAAACAUAAUUACCAAUCUAACAGAAUUACCAAUCUAACAGAAUUACGAAAACAGAAUUUUGAAUCUACCAAUCUAACAUAAUUACCAAAACAGAAUUACUAAUCUAACAGAAUUACCAAAACAUAACUUUAAUGAGUACCUUUUGCUGAUCAGAUAUGAAGGUGUAGGACUUGCAUGCUUGUUGUCCACCCAAGUCAUCAAUUAAUAAUUUAAGGAACCAAGUCCAUGAAUCUCUUGUCUCACCUUCAACUACAGCCAGGGCAAUUGGAAGCAUUUGGUCAUUUGGAUCUCUACCUACAGCAGCAAGAAUCAUACCCCCAUAAUACCCUUUAAGGAAACAACCAUCGAGACCAAUUAUUGGUCUACAAAUCAGGAAACUCUCUUUACAUCCAUUAAGACACAUAUAUAGGCGUUGAAAACUAGGUAAAAGUGGUCUGUCCACAUAGUCAGUUACCUCUGAAUUUGUAGCUUGGACUUCUAACUUAACUGUACUAUUUGGAUUCGAUCUUAAUAACUCAUGACAAUAAUCAUACAAUCUUAUAUAUUGCUCUCUUAAUGAUCCAUCAACCAUAUCAAUUGCAACCCUACGUGCCCUGAAUGCCUUCAUCUUACUUACUCCAGCAUUCCACUUUUGAUGAACCUUGUUAGAAAUAUCUGUAAUUUUUAUGUUCGGGUUCUCUUUAACUGUUGAGUACAAUCUUUUCCCGAGCCAACUUGCUCUCAUAAAUUUCACCUUAUACUCUCUAUUACAUGAAUGUGUGUCAACUAGUUUCCUAAGUUGCCAUGUAUCUUCAUCAGGUAACUUUGCACAAUAGGCAAACCACUCACAACCUUCCUUGCAUUUAACUCUCACUCUUAGUUUGUCAUUUUUUAUAAACUUCAAAUCCCUCCCAUUAUGAAUGGCAUAUGUUGUCAUAGCCUCCUUAAAUUCUUCUUUGCCAGUGAAAAGGGUUCCUAAAACCCACUUAUAAUCUUCCAUUUUUUUUUGCAUGACAAAUAAAGGAUACUUAUCAGUUUCUUGUGAAUCAUCACUCUCCAAUUCCUCUGUAAAAUACUCUUCAUCAAAUAAUUCCUUCUCACUUUGCAUAUUGGCCUCUUCAUCUUCAUCCACAAUAUGUUCUUUCUCAACACGAAUCUUCUUAGGUCUCCCUUUUUUGUUGUUGGUACUUUCUUUCUUCUUUUUGUUAGUAUUAGACCCUUUCUUACUUGCACCUACCCCUCCUUGUCCUUUAAGUCCGUCACCACCUAUUUGGACCUCAUCAAACCCAUCAUUCAUGGGCAAUUCAUCAUCAGAGUCUCCAAAAAUUACAUUAACAACACUAUCUUCACCGUCAGACUCAAUAUUGUCUUCUGUUUGGGUUGCACUUUGGGCUGGUUCAUGUGUAUCAUUUCCUACUUUAGCAGCUUCUUGAGCCUUAGUCUGCACAUUAUCCACAUGUUGUGGGCCUGUUUGGGUUGGUUCAUGGGUUUGUUUAGCUUCAUCUUUUUGAGUCUUAUUCUCCACAUUAUCCAUAAAUAUGGGCUGAAAUAUUGGAUGAAUAAGAUACAAAUUCACUUUCCCAUUAGCCUUGGUAAAAUUUACCAUUUCCAUUGCCCCAAUGUCAUUUUCCAAAAACUUUUUCUCACCAUACGCCUCAUACCAUAUACUAACAACUUCAAGAUACCUCAUUUGUUUAAUAAUAUCAAAAAUCUCAAAGUAACUCCACCUAUCAGCAUCACAUUUCCAAUUAGAAACUUCACCUUGGUACACUUCCAUUGUUUCAUCCAAAAAAUACCCUCCAUGGUGAACAUCGACGAAAAAGACAUCCAUUCUGCUUUUUUACAUUGAAAACACAUAAAAAAAACCCAUUAAUAGAAAACUAUAAUCAAAUGGUAGGGACCACAGAUCUGACCCCAUAAUCUUAGAAAAACAGGAAGGAAUAUGUAUGUGUGGACCACAAACCCUUGACCCAAAAUAAUCAACACAUGUAAGAAUAAAAUCAUUCUAAAUCAAACACAUGCAACUAAUAAAUACCAUAAGAACCCAACUAAACCCUAAAAUAAAUCAGAUCAUUAAACAUCAGAAUCCACAAACACAUUACCUUUUCCUCUCAAUGUGCGAUUACGAUUUCUUGAAGCUUCACUCCGAUGGUGUGUUCUUCGAUUCCUUAUAGUUAUCGUUGAAAUUAAUUUACGAUUUCACAGAGAUUCAGGAAGAAAACGCGAAGACGAUAGCAUUUCACGGAGAUCAGAGAAAAUAAAAACAGGAAAAUAAGAACAUGCAGAGGAAAACGAUUUCACGGAGAUGAGAAGAGGGAAAUCAGUGAAGAUGAGAGAAGAAAACAGGAAAAUAAGAAGACGAAAAUGAGAAGAUGGAAAUCAGUGGAGAUGAGAAUACCAAACAAGAGAUUUAGAAAUAUCAAAGAGAAAAAACUGGAAAGAAAACGGAUGAGGGAAUUUGUUAACGUUGCCUUAACGGAAUCUCACUUAAAGGGUAAAAUUGAAAUUAUUUCAAAAGAUAAAAUACUGAAAUGGGAAAAAAGAAGAAGUUAAAGGACCAAAACGUUACCUGGAAUUAAGUUAAAGGACCACAAAUGUAAUUUAGCCGCCAAAUUAAUAUGCAGAAGUAGGAAAUAAGAGUGUAAAAGUCGUCUGGUCCAAAAUUCAUUUUUUAGUAUUUCUAAAAGUUAUUUAUAAAUAAAUAAUUAUUUUACUUAUCCAUGCUAGAAACGUUUUAUGCAAAAUACUCAUGUUAACAUAAUAUUAUUUUGGCUAAAUUACAUCUGUGGUCCCUUAACUUAAUUUCAGGUAACAUUUUAGUCCUUUAUCUUUUUUUUUUUUCCGACUUAGUCCUUUAUUUUAAUUUUAAAUGACAAUUUGAUAUUUUAUGUUUUAAAAUUUCAACGUUAUCCUUUUUUAAACAAAAAUUCAAAAGUCUGACUCUGAGGAAAGUCAAUGUCUAUGAUGAAAAAGUCGACGUCACAUGAAAAAGUUGACGCAACAUGAAAAAGUCAACUGAACAUAAAAAGUCAACGAAUCUAACUAUGAUAAAAGUCACAACUCUGGAAACUGACUCUAAAGACACGUUCUACACACGACUCCGAAACAUAAUAUGAUGAAGGCGUACUGCCUCUAAUUGUGAUACUAAAGAUUCAAAUGACCAAGUAGUUACUUUUGUCCACACUCUAAUGGAUUAAAGAAAUGCAAUGCAAAAAAUUCAUUAUUGAUAUGGUAACUUACAAUUCUCUUAUUGAUAGUUUUCUCAAAUUUAGGAGAAUCUCAUAUGAUUUGGAGUUUGUUAGUCGGAUGCAUGAUAGAGUUCAACCACCUAAUAUACUCACUUACAGUUCUAUCUUGGAAAUAUUGUUGGGUUGGGAUUUUACAAAUUGUAUUGCAUUUGCUCUAGCCAAUAUCUUAUACUCUCAUUUUAUCUCAUGUGGAGUAAACCAGCUUUUAUCUCAUGUGGUUCUGUCAUUAACUGAACUAUUGUUCAGGCACAAGCUUGGCAUUUAAAUUGAUGUGUAAUGAGUAGAAUAUGUGUUAAAGAGAAGUAUUGAGAGUUGGAAAGGUCAUGAAAUUGUUGUGAGGAACACAACUUAGAGUUUAGAUCUUGAAUGCUUAUAGGAAGCAUGCUUCUAUUUUCUGCAUAAUUGCAGAUUUUGGUUACAUGUGGUGUUAAAUCGUAGACUUAGUGCUUAAAAUUUAAGCAAUCUAUAUGGAUGACAUGAAAGAUGGUUUAAAAGAUAUACAAACUGCGACAUGGACACCUAAUACGACCAACACUUCGAUACUACUAAUUUAAAAGAUACACGACUCCGACACCGAUACAUAUAUGAUAGUUUUUCACCUUCAUGGAUUCAUCUACUUCCGGAAAAAAUAAACUUGUUGUAAUUAAAUUUCAUGUUUUUAACCUCCAUCAUUGCUUUGACACAUCUUUAACCCCUGUAGUUGUGUUUGAGAUGUGUCCAAGGGGUUAAAGGUGUGUCGAGGUGAAAAAAAAUAAGUUUUAUUUUUGGAACACUUAUUUUAGGUAUCAUACGGGUGUCGGAGACUGACAUGUCUAACCUCAAAGGUGUUCAUACUUCAUAGUUCAUAUCCACUUCUAUUUUGUAUUUUAGACUAUUAUGAAAAUGUCAAUUUUUAUUUUAUUUUCUUUUGAAGGGGUUUGUGUGAUUUGUGUCACUUUGUGAUAUGGUUAGGAUUGUUAAGUGAAUAAUGUUUUUCUUCCAUGUUUUGUGGUUAUCUUUAUGCUUCAUUUGAAGCUUAGUUAAAUUUGUUCAUCAUUGAAGGUUGCUAGUGAAUUGGAAGUUGCAAACAAGUGCCAAAUGAAAUGCUAAUAUGUUAUAUGUUGCAUCUGAAGUAGAGUGAGAGUGAAGCAUGCAAGCUGAAAACUCUUCUUCCCCUUUCCCCCAAGUGUAUUUUCAUUAGUAAUAAUUGGAUUAUUUAUAUUGUGCUCCACAAAGACUUCAAAUACUUUGUACCUUUCGAUAUCUUUUGCAAAUUUACUACAUUAGCAUAUUUGUUGAGAGAUCUUAGUACACGUGCAAACGAGUACUUGAGAUGUUGGUAUCACAAACAUUUGUUGCUUCUAUAUCCUAAACUUUUAAUCAAUUUGGUAAAUUUUAUGUGGAACAUUAAGUCUACCGUCUACAUCCCAAUAUCAAUUCAUCUCAUCCCUUUGGCUACUGAAAUAAUUAUUCACCGGAUAAAUUACAAGAAAUGUGUCUAGGGUUCAUGACUUUCUAACUUGGGUAUUUUUUGAUUCAGUUCUGAUUUUUGUAAUUUUGUAACUUGUGUUUUAUAAUAAAAUGUUUAUUUUUAAAUGUUGUAAUGUUUUUUUUUUAAUUCAACAUAAUGAAAUAAUGGCAUUAAAUUUGCCAUCUAUAUCUUUAGGUUAUUUGACACAUCAUUUAAAAUUAAAAAUAUGACACAUUGUAAAUGAAAUAUGGAGCUAAUUUCAUGAAUGAGAUAAAAUAGGGAGACCAAAAGUGUAAUUCAACCUAAAUAUAAAUAAAUUGAUAAAAAAAAAAACCUAAACAUAAAUAAAAAUACCAAACAACUUUAAAAGGAAUAUAAUUGUACCAAUAAAACAAUGUACUACACUAUAGUUAACUAGAUAUUGGUCCGUGCUUUGCGCAUGAACAUUUGAUAUAUUAAUAGUUAAUAUAUUAAAUUAAGAUUAAAUUGUACUUUAACUUUAUAAACAUUACUCUUUGAAUUUAAAAUCAAAGAUGAUUAGUAGAUAAUAGUUAUUAAAUGAUAUAUUAGAAGUAGACAAAUAUUAUGUUACACAAGUGAGACAAGAUCUGCAUCAUACACAAAACUUUUAUCGACCAUUGAAUUAAUAAGUUUAAUGAUUCGGCCAAAUGAGAUAUUACGAGACUUAAUGAUUCAAUGGUAGAAGAUAAACUCAUGCAAGGUGCAAGAUGGUUUUACCUAUGCACAUUAGAAAAAACUAAAAAAUGUAAUCAUCUUUAAUAUGUUCAAAAUAAUUGAUAAUGAUUUAAAAAAUUAAAGUUAAAAUAUUUAUUUGAACUAAUUAAUUAUUUGGACAACAUUUUGUUUAGUUUAUAUUAUAAUUGUUAUUGUUGCAUUUCUAUUUAAAAAAAUUUAUGAGACAAAAUCGAUCACAUUCUCCAUAUGAAGUGAUAUUGAGGGGUGUGAAAAAUUCUUCCCUUAACCUUAGAUAUUUCAAUGACAAUUUUUAAACCAAAAUAUUGUCAUUGCUUUAUCAACCAAGUUCAUGAGUUCUUCACUAAAAAGAUAUUCAAGACAUGAUUUUAAAUUGUGUUACCCAACUGCCGUUUUAACGACAUUGCAACUAUAAUUUAGACCGCAUUUUUCUGCAAUUUAAAAAUUUGUAGCGCAACAGCGACAACAAACGUAAUUUAAAAUCAUGAUUCAAUGAAUUGAUAUCAUUGUCACUUGAAACAAAAGACCCUCCUAGUUCUUAAUUAAAAUCAAAGAAACAAGUAAUAAGGGUGCAAGUAUACAUUUUAAAGGAUAUAAUAAGUUAAUAACCAGUUUCUAUGAUAAUUAAACUUGACAAUUUAAUAUGGUGACAGGGAAAUUACUUUGCAGAAAUCAAACAUGCAGUAAAACUAUGCCUGGAUCAUUAGGACAUGAAGAGCAAGAUGCAAAAACAUUUGCUUCAUGGGUAAUAAUAAUAAUAUGCAUUUCAUUAUAUAAGCUUAUAUACUGUAUGUAUUUAAUUAACAUCAAGUUUCAUUGUUAUUUUAGGAAAUUGACUAUUUGAAGUAUGAUAAUUGUGAGAAUAAUAAUAUAAACCCCUAAGAAAGGUAUAUAUGUGGUUUUCAAAUUGCAUAUACAAAUCAACUAAAUGCUUCUAAAAUCUAUGAAUUCAUGCAUUUUGUGAAAUAGAUAUCCAGCAAUGAGUUAAAAUAGAUAUACAGUUGGAGAACAACAGGAGAUAUUUAAAUACAGCAUGAAUCUAUUUCAAAGAAUUUCAUAAUCUUGUACUCAAUUUAGAACCUGACCAAUGUUUGCAUCAGAUCCAUGCUUUACUGAACACUUGACAGAGACAUAGCAUUAAAGACACAGUUGAUGCAAGAGAUUUAUGGGAGGUGAAAGACAUAGUUUGACUUAUUUUGUUCUUCACAAUCCCAUGAAUUCAUAGCAUUAAAGACACCUAUAAUGUUUUGAGUUUUUGACUAUUUAUAUUGAAAUUUGCAGCAUUCAACACAAUCAUCAGUUUCUUGAGAUAUAUCUGCUGAAUUAGACUCACAUGCUUGUAAGAUGUGUGUCCUGAGUCCGAAAUAAGUUCUCGAUAUAUUUAGACAGAAGGAGACAAACAACAGAAGUCAGGACUACCACAAAUGCAUUGGCAAUCAUUCGAGGUUCCGUAAAAGGAAACAGAAAUCAAUUGGAAAUUUAUUUGUCAAUAGGAAAUGCAGNNNNNNNNNNNNNNNNNNNNNNNNNNNNNNNNNNNNNNNNNNNNNNNNNNNNNNNNNNNNNNNNNNNNNNNNNNNNNNNNNNNNNNNNNNNNNNNNNNNNNNNNNNNNNNNNNNNNNNNNNNNNNNNNNNNNNNNNNNNNNNNNNNNNNNNNNNNNNNNNNNNNNNNNNNNNNNNNNNNNNNNNNNNNNNNNNNNNNNNNNNNNNNNNNNNNNNNNNNNNNNNNNNNNNNNNNNNNNNNNNNNNNNNNNNNNNNNNNNNNNNNNNNNNNNNNNNNNNNNNNNNNNNNNNNNNNNNNNNNNNNNNNNNNNNNNNNNNNNNNNNNNNNNNNNNNNNNNNNNNNNNNNNNNNNNNNNNNNNNNNNNNNNNNNNNNNNNNNNNNNNNNNNNNNNNNNNNNNNNNNNNNNNNNNNNNNNNNNNNNNNNNNNNNNNNNNNNNNNNNNNNNNNNNNNNNNNNNNNNNNNNNNNNNNNNNNNNNNNNNNNNNNNNNNNNNNNNNNNNNNNNNNNNNNNNNNNNNNNNNNNNNNNNNNNNNNNNNNNNNNNNNNNNNNNNNNNNNCCUUUGACCAAAAGAUCUUCAAAAAUCUUUUGGGAAUCCUUUAUUCGUCAACUUUUACACAAUCCAUUGAGAAGAAUAUUAUACGUGCACAUAUUUGGUUGAAUACCCAAGUCUUUAAAUUUUUUCAAUAAUGCAACUGCCUUAUCAUCAUCAUUGCUUUUGCAUAAAGCAUCCAAUAUAGAAUUGUAAGUAUAUAUAUCAGGUGGUUGGCCCCUAUCAUGCAUCUCACCAACAAGCUCCAAAGCAUAUGUAAUUCUCCCCGAUUUGCACAAACCAUCAAUGAGGGAAUUGUAAGUUACAACAUCAGGAACAAUUUUUCUGUACUGCAUUUCUUUGAAGAGGUUCAUGGCUUCAUCCACCAUUUUAAUCUUACAGAGUCCAUUAACCAUGAUACUGUAGCUCCUAACAUCAGGAGCCACUCCCCUUUGGGCCAUAAUGUUGAGUAUACUCUUAGCCUUGUUCACUUCAUUAACGAGACAAUAUCCAUCCAUUAAACUGUUGUAAGUAACAAUAUUCGGCUUUAUGUCAUUUUUCAUCAUCACAAGAAACACAUUUUUAGCUUCUUUCAACUUCCCUUCCUUACAAAAAGCAUCAACCAAUAUAUUAAAAGUAUACAAAUCUGGGUUGAUGUUUUCCAUUGUCAUUUUAUUAAACAAAUCAAUUGCUUCUUUUAAUUGACCCAUGAUGCAAAAGCCACUAAUUAAAGCAUUGUAAGUGACAACAUCGGGAGAAAUUCUCUUGACAACCAUUUCAGAAUAUAAAUCACAUGCAUCAUAAACAAGUUUAUCUUUGCACAUACUAUCAGCAACUCUAGAGCUGCUCUUGUUUCUCCAACUUUACAUAACCCAUUGAUCAAAGUCCCGUAACUAACUUGAUUCAACUGAAAUCCUUGUGCUACCACCUUGUCAUGAAAGUGCAAUGCUUUAUGAACCUCACCUUUAAGACAAAAACCCUUGAUGAGUGUGGUAAAAGUUAUUGUAUCAGGAUGAUAACCCCUUUUGAGAAUCUUUGAGAAAACAGAGAAAGCAAAAGUGAUAUGACCCAAUUGGCAUAAACAAUUGAUUAAGAGAUUGCAAGUUACAAAGUCAGGGUUGAUUCCCCUUAGUUCCAUUUGUUGAGAAAGGGAAAUAGCGUAACCGUACCUAGGGGUGUUCAUGGUGCAAAAACUGAACCACAUUAAUGGUUUGGUCUAGUUCUUCAAAAUCACUUUCAAAUCAAGUUCAUUGCAGUUUUAAAUUGGAUUGUAACUGAUUUAUAAAUAUAAAACCACAUUAAUAUUUUGAACAAAUUUUUAGUUAAAAUUUUCAAACUAGUUAUUCGAAAAAAAUAAUUUUGAAAUUCUUUUGAUAAAAAAAUAUUGAUUUUGUUUUAAAAAUUUUUUUAAUUUUUUUCGAGAAAAAUAAAUGUUAAAUGUGGGUGUGGUGAAGCGGAUUCCAUUGAAAACUUGUUGAUAACUAUGUAUGCAAAUUGUAGUGACCUUACAUUUGCUAGAAGAAUAUUUGAUGCGACCGAUGGAAAAAAGUGUUUUAUCAUGGACAUCGAUGAUUGCGGGAUAUGCUCGUUUAGGUCAUCCUUCGAAAUCAUUGAAUCUAUUUAGAAGGAUGAUAAGGACAUAAACUAGACCUAAUGGAGCAACCUUGCAACUGUUUUAUCAGCUUGUGCUGAUUUGGGAUCACUCAACACUAGGUAAGUGAUUGAAGAAUACAUCCUUCGAAAGCAUUGAAUCUAUUUAGAAGGAUGAUAAGGACAUAAACUAGACCUAAUGGAGCAACCUUGCAACUGUUUUAUCAGCUUGUGCUGAUUUGGGAUCACUCAACACUAGGUAAGUGAUUGAAGAAUACAUCCUUCGAAAGCAUUGAAUCUAUUUAGAAGGAUGAUAAGGACAUAAACUAGACCUAAUGGAGCAACCUUGCAACUGUUUUAUCAGCUUGUGCUGAUUUGGGAUCACUCAACACUAGAUAAGUGAUUGAAGAAUACAUUUUCAAAAACAAAUUUGAAUCAGACCAACAAGUUCAAACCUCUCUCAUACAUGUACUCUAAAUGCAGUAGCAUCAAGAAAGCAAGAGAAGUAUUUGACAGGGUCAAAAAUAAAGAUUUAACUAUUUGGACUUCCAUGAUAAAUAGUUAUGCCAUCCAUGGAAUGGGGGAUUAAGCUAUUAGCCUCUUCGAAAAAAUGACAACAUUAGAAGGGUUAAAACCAGAUUUCAUUGUUUAUUCUAGUCUUUUGCUUGCAUGUAACCAUUUAGGAUUGAUAGUUGAUGGAUUAAAGUACUUCAAAAGAACGCAAACAGAUUUCAGAAUAACUCCUACAAUAGAACACUAUACUUGUUUGGUAGAUCUUCUAGGCCGAGUUGGCCAACUUGACCUAGCUUUAGAUACAAUUCAGGCGAUGUUGUUGGAAUUACAAACAUGAGCUUGGGGUUUGUUGCUUAGUGCUUGUAGGAUCCAUGGCAAUGUUGAGCUGGGAGAGCUUGCAGCUGUCAAGUUAUUCCAACUUACUCCAAGAAGUUCUGGAAGUUACAUAUUAAUGGCUAAUUUGUACACCUCAAUUGAAAAGUUUAACGAGACGAAUACAAUUCGAAACUUGAUAGAUGGUAAAUGAAUGGUUAAAGAAUGUGGUUGGAGUCAGGUUUAGGUUAGUGGUUGAUUUAAUGUUUGUUGUGGUAAAUCAAUCAAAUUGUUGUAGUAAUAAUAAAGAUUAACUGAAAAAGAAAACAAAUUGGGGGAACCUCUUAAAGCUAAGGUUAUCGAACAAGUUGUUAAACUUGCAUUUGGUAAUGUCAAUAGUACUUCCAGACUCCAACAAUUGAAGAACAUGGAAUCAUUUCCAUGAAUGUUAAGAAGUGCUUUUUAAUUAAAAAAAAAAUCAGUGUGUACUUGAACUGAGUCUGGUUCUUAUCAAAGUAAGGACUUACGGUAAAGUGAUAUUUGUUACUUUCAUGUGAUUCAAAUUGUAUACACAGAGAAAGUAAAUUGAAAAUAUCAUAACUUUAUUAUCCUUUCUGAUAAAUAUUUCUGUAGACGUUCCUUGAUGACUACUUUCAUUUUGGUGCUAAUAUAGAUGGAAAAUAAUUAUUGUUACGAGACAAGUUUGAAGGGAAAAAAAGCAAGAAAUUUAUGUGGCAUUGUGUCACAUUUUCAAGUUAUAAGUAAUAUCCACCCUCUCUUCCAUAUAUGACUAAUAGAAUCUCAUUGGUCAAAUAUUUUAUUUUUAUGCAUUAUUGUCUUGCGUGUAUAAAUUCUUUGUAAGAAAUAGCAAUGCUCAAUGUAUAUUUAUAUAAAGUUAUGUGCAAGUAUUCAAUAAGUUUCAAAUUACACUAUACUCUCCUCCUAGUUUUAAAUAUAAGCAAAUCUAUCUAACUUCAAGCUUAUUAAAAUAAGUAGCAAAGUGCAACUAGUUUUCUUUGAUCUCAUAAAUUAAAUGAUGAGUAUUUUGAAAAUAAUAGUAUUGAAAUUUAGUUAAAAGUUACUAAUAAUAACUUGCUGGAGCAAGACAUGGAACACUGGUCUGCUCAUAAUCGAUAACUGAUACCUAAAAGAGAAAAUACACAAAAGUAUAAGUGGAAUACUCCAUAGUUUAAACUAUUUCUAAAAUCCACAUAAUAGUUCGGAAACAGACAUUAAUGAAAACUCAAGUGUACGAAUAUAAAAAGAAAAAAAAAAUACACCUCAAAUGAGAGCAACUGUAUAUAGAUUUGUAUAGCAUUUCUCUGUCACAAGGUUAUUUGGUAUCCAAACAAUUAAAAGAAUCUCCUUUUAUAUGGCUAUUGCAAAUUUAAAAGAGAACCAAGUCAAAGCAUUUUGGAACUCCAGUGUAAUUUUAAUAAAAACUAGAUGCUAACCCGCGUAUUGCGCGGGUAUAUUUUUAUUUAUUAAAUUUAAGUGGAUUUAGAAGAAAAAAAAUAUGAAGUUUUAUGUCCUAAUUAAGUAUUUAUAUCAAUAAUAUAUAUACAAUUUUACCAAUAUAAUUAAUAGAAGAGAAAUACCAAUUUAGACGAAUGACUUGAAUAAAUAAAAUAUCUAAUUAAUAUUGAGAUCGUUGGAUAUGUUAAAUAUUGAAGUAAUAUAUUUGAUAAUUGAAAUUAAGAUAUACAAUUGAGUUAAAAAAUAUAUUACUUUAUUGUUGAAACUAAAAAUGAUUAAAGUAAAAUACUUGGAAAUACGUUCAUUUUGUAUUUUAUUUUAUUAUUUUUUUGUUGUCUCAUUCGAUCAUUUUAAUCAUACAUCUUUACGGUAAUUGUGAAAUUUUUUAUUUUAAAUCGGAUAUAUUAGAAUUUUAAUUUACAAACAUUCAAAUUGUUAUUAACAUUAAUAGAGUAAUCAUAAUGAUUAACAUUUUGGUUUCAAAAUCGAAAUCCAAAAUUUAUAACAAUUACAAAAUAUUAAUCCUCAAACAAUUAUAAAUAUAUAUUAAAUAUAAAUAAUUGCAAAUGAAUUACUUUAAUUUCAUACCAAUUAACACUAUAAAACAAUAAAUUUAAUUUAAAUAAUUUCAGUAAAAUAAAGUUGACCAAAAUUCAACAAACAUAUUUUGUCCAUCAUUUCUAAAUAUUUAUAUGCUAUAUAUAUUUACCAAUAUUCAAAAAUGAAAAUCAAAUAUAAAUAUUUUUUUGUUCUCUCNNNNNNNNNNNNNNNNNNNNNNNNNNNNNNNNNNNNNNNNNNNNNNNNNNNNNNNNNNNNNNNNNNNNNNNNNNNNNNNNNNNNNNNNNNNNNNNNNNNNNNNNNNNNNNNNNNNNNNNNNNNNNNNNNNNNNNNNNNNNNNNNNNNNNNNNNNNNNNNNNNNNNNNNNNNNNNNNNNNNNNNNNNNNNNNNNNNNNNNNNNNNNNNNNNNNNNNNNNNNNNNNNNNNNNNNNNNNNNNNNNNNNNNNNNNNNNNNNNNNNNNNNNNNNNNNNNNNNNNNNNNNNNNNNNNNNNNNNNNNNNNNNNNNNNNNNNNNNNNNNNNNNNNNNNNNNNNNNNNNNNNNNNNNNNNNNNNNNNNNNNNNNNNNNNNNNNNNNNNNNNNNNNNNNNNNNNNNNNNNNNNNNNNNNNNNNNNNNNNNNNNNNNNNNNNNNNNNNNNNNNNNNNNNNNNNNNNNNNNNNNNNNNNNNNNNNNNNNNNNNNNNNNNNNNNNNNNNNNNNNNNNNNNNNNNNNNNNNNNNNNNNNNNNNNNNNNNNNNNNNNNNNUAUAUAUUAUAUAUAUUUACCAAUAUUCAAAGUAGAAAAUUAAAUACAAACAUUUUUUGUUCUCUCUUUCGAUCAUUUUACUUAUCGAUCUUUGUGGUAAUUGUGAAUUUUUUUUACUUUAAAUCGGAUAUGUUAGAAUUUUAAUAAUUUACAAACAUUCAAACUAUUAUUAAUAUUAAUUGAAUAAUCAUAAUCAUUAAUAUUUUGAUUUGUAAACCGAAAUCUAAAAUUUAUAACAAUUCUAAUAAUUACAAGUAUACAUCAAAUAUAAAUAAUUGUAAAUGAAUUACUUUAAUUUCAUAUCAAUUAAAACUAUAAAACAACAAAUUAAAUAUAAUUAGUUUCAGUACAAUAAAACUAACCAAAAUUCAAAGAGAAAUAGUUUUUUUCCAUCAUUUCUAAAUAUUUAUAUAUUAUAUAUAUUUACCAAUAGUCAAAGUAAAAAAUCAAAUACAAAUAUUAUUUUUUUCUCUCACUAUCAUUUUAAUGAUCGAUCUUUGUGGUAAUUUUGAUUUUUUUUAACUUUAAAUCGGAUAUAUUAUAAUUUUAAUUUACAAACAUUAUUUCUUAAAUUAAUAUUAAUUGAGUAAUCAUAAUCAUUAACAUUUUGGUUUCAAAAUCGAAAUCUAAAAUUUAUAAAAAUUCGGUUACAAAAUAUUAAUUGUCAAACAAUUAUAAGUAUACAUCAAAUACAAAUAAUUGCAAAUAAAUUGCUUUAAUUUCAUGUCAAUUAACAUUAUAAAACAACAAAUUAAAUAUAAUUAGUUUCAGUACAAUAAAACUAACCAAAAUUCAAAGAGAAAUGGCUUUGUCCAUCAUUUCUAAAUAUUUAUAUAUUAUAUAUAUUUACCAAUAUUCAAAGUAAAAAAUCAAAUACAAAUAUUAUUUUUUUCUCUCACUAUCAUUUUAAUAAUCGAUCUUUGUGGUAAUUUUGAUUUUUUUUAACUUUAAAUCGGAUAUAUUAUAAUUUUAAUUUACAAACAUUAUUUCUUAAAUUAAUAUUAAUUGAGUAAUCAUAAUCAUUAACAUUUUGGUUUCAAAAUCGAAAUCUAAAAUUUAUAAAAAUUCGGUUACAAAAUAUUAAUUGUCAAACAAUUAUAAGUAUACAUCAAAUACAAAUAAUUGCAAAUAAAUUGCUUUAAUUUCAUGUCAAUUAACAUUAUAAAACAACAAAUUAAAUUUAAUUAGUUUCAGUAAAAUAAAACUGACUAAAAUUAAAAGAGACAUGACUUUGUCCAUCAUUUCUAAAUAUUUAUAUAUUAUAUAUAUUUACCAAUAUUCAAAGUAAAAAGUCAAAUAAAAAUAUUUAAAUAUAUAUAAUAGAUGAAAUUAAAGUAAUUUAUUUGUAAUUAUUUGUAUACUUAUAAUUGUUUGACAGUUAAUAAUUUGUAAACAAAAUGUUAAUGAUUAUGAUUCAUUUGUCAAUAUUAAUAAUAGUUUGAAUGUUUCUAAAUUAAAAUUCUAAUAAAUCCGAUUUAAAAUAAAAAAAAAUUCACAAUUACCACAAAGAAGAUCGAUUUAACGUUUGAAAAAUUUCUAUAAUACAUUCAGAUUUGUGUUCUGAAAUUUAAAAUGAUCUAAUUUACUCAAUUCAAUUCAAUGUCAGACAUCUUUUAAACAUGCUUAAAAUUAUUUGAGUCAAACUUUUUCAACUGCAAUUUGUAAGCUACUCAACAUAUACUACAUUGAAGUAAAACUAAGAAUAUGAGACACACAAAGCAAAGUGACACUUAAAAACAACUAAAGAAGGAAAAGAGUUUAGAAGAGAGAUGGAAAAAAUAUUGAUGUAUAAAUAUACCUUGUCAUAACAUUGAAAAACACUAAUUCUUUGAAUUUUUCAUGUACCAUUUUGCUCUGGGUAUGAUGGGUAGUGAAAUUUGCCGGCCAGUCCCAUCCCAACUUGGAUUUCCAAGAUAGUCGCAGUGAUAGAAUUUCAUGUAAGAAACUAUACAUAGCAUUAAGUCACUAUGAGCCAAAUUGAUUUCAAAGAUUGUAUAGAAUAUAAUUGAAUUUAUGACAACAAAAUUAGAAAAAGACAAAGAGAAUAAUUUUUUUUGUUGCAACGAACCAACCUAUACCUCUUUCAGUGUAUCUUUGGAGAAGAGUCGACAAUUUCGAAGAAGAAGAUGAUUUUGCGAGNNNNNNNNNNNNNNNNNGUGGCAUGAGAGUUGACAUGAGAGUCUGUUUUAAAUCUUGGAUUUCCUAGAUAGUCGCAGUGAUAGAAUUUCAUGUAAGAAACUAUACAUAACAUUAAGUCACUAUGAGCCAAAUUGAUUUCAAAGAUUGUAUAGAAUAUAAUUGAAUUUAUGACAGCAAAAUUAGAAAAAGACAAAGAGAAUAAUUUUUGUUGUUGCAAUGAACCAACCUAUACCUCUUUCAGUGUAUCUUUGGCUAACCUAUACCUCUUUCAGUGUAUCUUUGGAGUAGAGUGGGCAAUUUGGAAGAAUAAGAUGAUUUUGCGAGGAUGGCGAAUGACUGAGAAGUCAUUAAAAAAAUUAGGGAUUAGAGGAAUUAAAAGAGAAAAAAUUAUUUAGAAAUUAAGUAGAAAAAAAUGAGGUGAACAUGGCACCAAAAUUAGAAAUAGACAAAGAGAAGAAUUUUUUUUGUUGCAACGAACCAACCUAUACCUCUUUCAGUGUAUCUUUGGAGAAGAGUCGACAAUUUCGAAGAAGAAGAUGAUUUUGCGAGGAUGGCGAAUGACUGGAAAGUCAUUAAAAAAAUUAGGAAUUAGAGGAAUUAAAAGAGGAAAAAAUUAUUUAGAAACUAAGUAGAAAAAAAUGAGGUGAACAUGACACCAAAAUUAGAAAUAGACAAAGAGAAGAAUUUUUUUUGUUGAAACGAACCAACCUAUACCUCUUUCAGUGUACCUUUGGAGUAGAGUCGGCAAUUUCGAAGAAGAAGAUGAUUUUGCAAGGAUGGCAAAUGACUGGGACAUACACAAGAGGGAAGAAGAAAUUGUUGGAGGAAGUCAAUAAAAAAAUUAGGAAAAAAACUAUUUAAAAACUAAUUAGAAAAAAUGAGGUGAAACAUAAAAACACAAGAGAACUCUCUAAGGCGUACACAUAAGCUUUUUUGUUGAGGUGAGAUAUGUUUACACAUGUGGAAGAAAUAUUAUGAAGUGGCAUGAGAGUUGACAUGAGAGUCUGUUUUAAAUAUAUAUAAUAGAUAAUAGAUACUUUUUUGUAACUAUAUAUGGAAUUCCAUUUGUUUCCCAAUGUCAUUUUAUUAAACAUAUCAAUUGCAUCUUUCAAUUGACCCAUAAUGCAGAAACCACCAAUUAGAGUACUAUAAGUGACAACAUUAGGAGAAAUUCCCUUUAAAACCAUUUCAGUAAAUCAAGGCAGGAUUAGACCUAAGUCCGGAACCAGGAACUUCGGUUGAUGCAAGAGAUUUAUGGGAGGUGAGAAACAUAGUUUGACUUAUUGUUCUUUACAAUCCCAUGAAUUCAUAGCAUUGAAGAUACCUAUAAUGUUUUGAGAUUUUGACUACUUAUAUUGAAAUUUGCAGCAUUCAACACAAUCAUCAGUUUCUUGAAAAAUAUCUGCUGAAUUAAACUCACAUGCUUGUUAGAUGUAUGUCCUGAGUCCGAACUAAGUUCUCAAUAUAUUUAGACAAAAAAGGAGACAAACAACAGAAGACAGGACUACCACAAAUGCAUUGGCAAUCAUUCGAGGUUCCGUAAAAGGAAACAGAAAUCAAUUGGAAAUUUAUUUGUCAACAGGAAAUGCAGAAACAAAUGAAUAUAAGUUAUAUCUCUAAUAUGGUUUUCAUUGUAAUCUAUACAAUGAGGACCAUUUGAUCUCAAUACGACAUACCUUCCAAAUUAUAAAUACUGUGAAUCUAAAUGAUGUUCAUUUAACAUGUAACCGAUUUAGAGGAUACGGGAUAAAAAAACAAUUGAAAAAAGGAACUAUAAAUACUAGUAUUGUGAAUUUUACAAUCAGUAUUCACAAUGUUCUACUUCUCUAGCUAACUAACCAUUUUCCCCUAAAUAUUAUGGACCUUGAUUUUAGGCCUAAACAAGCAAACUUAUAUACAUCAACCCCAUCAGAUUUCACAUGUAUUCUACCUUUGUAUUUGUAAAGAUUCCAAAACAGUAUAUCAGGAAUGGCAGCAAUGAAUCAAUAAGAAUUGAUUGAAAUGAUAAAAUAAUGUUGAAACAUUGAUUCAAAAUAAUAAUGUUUAAAUAGAAAAAUAUCUUACCUACUUUCGGUCUUAAAGAAGACCUCUCACAAUCAUUUCUCGAAGAAGUUUCUUCGCUUUUUCAUUUUCAUCACUUUUGAACAGAGAAAGAAUAAUUAUUUCGUAAGUUAAAGAAUUUGGAAUGCAGCCAUUGUCUUUCAUUUUUGAGAACAAAUCCAACGCUGCGUCCAACAAGCCCUUGUUACAAAACCCUUGGAUCAUAACGGUCCAUGUACAAACAUCUAGAUCGUAGCCUUUGAGCAAAACCUGUUUUCCCGUUCUGCAGUUUUCUAAAAUCAGUUUUUUCUAUCAAUGCAAACGAAAAUAAAGAAGGAUAAGGGAAGAAUAACACCAAGAAUUUACGUGUUCGGUCUCAAUUGAUGAGACCUACGUCACGGGCAAGCAAGCAAGAUUAAUCCACUGUGAAUGAUUGAACUUUACAAGAUUAAAGCCUUCUCAAGAUUGAUCUCCUAGUAUCUAUCACUGUUUAUGAACCAGCAAUACUAGCAUAUCUCUCAAUCUUUCUUUUCUCCCUUUAAUCUUUCUUUCUCUCUGAAUUUCUAUGAAUCAUAAAUUUCAUAAGUCUCUCUUAGUUUUCAGCUCUCACUAUUACAACAACAUUUUUUCUUCUGCCAUAUUACAGCUUCAUUUAUAUUAUACAAGAGUAAACUAACUAACCACCUAUGAUAACUAACUUGGCCAAAGGUAGUUAUAACAACCACUAAAGCUUAACUAACUUUAGUUAGAUGAUUUGAGACACACAUUCACGAUUCUCCACCUUGACUCAAUAUCAGAAUAAUUCAAUCUUUGAUCUUGCUGCCAUUGCUUCAUCUUUACUCUUUGUUGAAGCCAACUAUGUCCAAGCAAUGCUUGAACUUAGCUUGUGAAAGUGAUUUGGUGAAUGCAUCAGCUAGGUUAUCCCCGAUUGCAAUCUUCUCAACUGAAACAUGCUUUGAAUCGAUCACAUCUCUUAUGAAGUGAUACUUAACAUCAAUAUGUUUAGAAUUAUUAUGAUACACUUGAUGCUUGGAUAAGGGUAUAGCACUUUGACUAUCACAAUAAAUUGAAACACAAUUCUGAUUUAUUCCUAGUUCACCAAUAAUUCCUUUCAUCCAUAAAGCUUUUUUAACCCCUUCAGUAAGCGCAAUGAAUUCAGCUUGAGUUGUAGAAAGUGCUACCACCGAUUGUGUAAUUGCUCUCCAACUUACCGCAGUCCCAUAUAGAGUGAAAACAUAACCAGAAAUUGAUUUUCUAGUGUCCGUGUUUCCAGCAUAAUCCGAUUCCACAUAUCCUUUGAUUGGUACCUUGUCAUGAUGAGUCUUUUUGAAUUUUAAACUUGUUGUUAGUGAGCCAUUUAAGUACCUCAUAAUCCACUUAAGUGCUGACCAAUGCAGUGCUCCUGGAUUUGUCAUAAACCUGCUAACAACAUUCACAGCAUACGCCAAAUCUGGCCUGCUACAUAUCAUUCCAUACAUUAUGCUGCCAACUCCACUAACAUAAGGAAUGGUACUCAUUCUUUGUCUUUCCUCAUCAGUCUUAGGUGAGUCUUGCAUAGACAAUUUGUAAUUUUGUCCCAGAGGAGUAGUAACUUGUCUUGCCUCAUGCAUUCUAUAUUUAGUGACAACUUUCUUCAGAUAGGCAACUUGAGAAAGAAAUAGUUCUCCUUUCAUUCUAUUUCUUUUUAUAUCCAUUCCUAAGAUCCUUUUGGCCUCUCCAAGUUCUUUCAUCUCAAACUCAUUUCUAAGAUCAGCUUUGAGCCUUUUAAUCUGGUCUUUACUUGAACAUGCAAGAAGAAUAUCAUCCACAUUGAGUAAUAGAUAAAUUGGAGAACAUUCUUGACUUUUCUGAAAAACUAGAGAACGUUCUUGAGCUGGAGAACGUUCUUGAUUUUUCUCUUUCAGAGUGUAAACACAACUGUCAAAACUACAUCUUUGGAAACCAGAUCUAAUCAUGACAUCAUCAAACUUCCUGUACCAUUGUCUAGGACUUUGCUUUAGGCCAUACAAUGAUUUUUUAAAAAGACAAACCUUGUUUCUGCCUUUAGCGACUCCUUCAGGUUGCUGCAUAUAAAUGGUUUCUUCCAGAUCACCAUGUAGAAAUGCUGUUUUGACAUCCAACUGCUCUAAUUCCAAGUCUUGUUGAGUUACAAUUGAAAGCAGAAUUCUGAUUGAACAAUGUUUUACAACAGGUGCAAAUACUUCAUUGAAAUCAAUUCCUUCAAGUUGAGAAAAUACCUUUGCAACUAAUCUUGCUUUGAACCUUAUCUUCUCUUUACCUUGAAUGCCUUCCUUUCUCUUGAACACCCAUUUUGAUUCAAUUACCCUUUGACUCUUAGGAAUGUCAACCAAAACUCGGGUUUGAUUCUUUUCUAGUGAUUGCAUCUUUUCAUUCAUUGCUAUCAUCCAAGCUCCUUUGUCUUCACUAUUAAUGACUUCCAUGUAGUUGCUUGGUUCAUCUCUUUGAAGAUCUUCAGCAACACUUAAAACAUAACAAAUUAAAUCUGCUUCACCAUAUCUGGUUGGAGGCUUGAUAACCCUUCUUUCUCUAUCCCUUACCAAGUUGUAAUUGGCCAAAUCUGUUUCUGUUGCAGCAUUAUCAUCAAGUGACGUAUCAAUAAUAUCUUCAUGAUUACUCUCUUGAUCUCCAGGUGACUCCACCUCAAACUGAGCAUUCUCUUCAUUGUUGUUUGAAGCACUGUUAAAUGGAGAACGUUCUGCGUUUCUGCAAUGUUCUUCAUUUCUGCAUAAUUCAAACGGAGAAUGUUUUGCGUUUCUGCAGAACUGAAACGAAGAAUGUUCUGCGUUUCUGCAAUGUUCUUCAUUUCUGCAAUUCUGAAACAGAGAAUGUUCUGCGUUUCUGCAGAACUGAAACGAAGAAUGUUCUUUGUCAAUCAUGGGCAUUCUUGUUUCAUCAAACACUAUAUCUCUUGAUAUGAUGAACUUGGGCACACCUUGGUCAAUUCUCCACAACUUGUAACCUUUUAUUCCUUUAGGAUAACCAAUGAAAACACAUUUGAUUGCUCUAGGAUCCAACUUAUCUUGCCUUGUAUGAGCAAAUGCUAAGGAACCAAAUACCUUCAGAUUUGAGUAGUCUGUUGGUUUGCCAUUCCACAUCUCAAUUGGUGUCUUAAAUCCAAUAGCUAAUGAAGGGCAUCUAUUUAUCAAAUACACUGAUGCAACUGCAGCUUCUCCCCAAAAUGUUUUAGGCAGUCCUGCACUCAAGAUCAUACAUCUAACUCUUUCCAAGAUUGUUCUGUUCAUCCUUUCAGCAAUACCAUUUUGUUGAGGGGUGCCUACAACUGUUCUAUGUCAUUGAAUACCCAAGUCCCUGCAAAACUUAUUAAACUGCUCUGAAAGAUACUCCAGGCCAUUGUCAGUUCUUAAACAUUUCAGCUUAGUUUCCUUUUGAGUUCCAAUUUGCAUAUGCCAUUCUUUAAAUUUCAUAAAAGUGUCACUUUUAUUUUUAAUGAUAUAGAUCCAUACUUUCCUAGAAUAAUCAUCAAUUAUAGUUAAGAAGUAAGAACAACCAGCAUGAGUUUUUGUCCUUGAAGGACCCCACAAAUCAGAAUGAGCAUAUUCAAAAGGUCUAGAGGUGUUUUGUUGGCCAACACCAAAACUGCCCCUCUUAGACUUUCCUAGAAUACAAUAAUCGCAAAAUUCCAAUUUUUCAAUUUUGUCACCAUUAAGCAAAUUUUGUUUUGAUAACUCAAUUAAGCCUCUUUCACUUACAUGUCCUAACCUCAUAUGCCAUAUUCUAGAAGAUGAGUGCAAAUUAGAGCUAGCAACUGAAGCUUGUGCAAUUAUAGUAGAACCUUGUAAAAUACACAAACCAUUUCUUUUAAUGCCUUUAACAAUGAUAUCAUCUUUAUUAAUAAUAGUCAUAAUACCAUUCUUUAUGUUUGUGGAAUAUCCUAAAAUGUCAAACACACCAACAGAAAUUAAAUUUCUUUUUAAUUCAGGUAUGUACCUUACAUCAUUGAGCAGUAACUCCUUGCCAUUGAACAUUCUGAAUCUGAUUGUUCCUUUGCCUUGGACUUUACAUGUUUUGUUGUUGCCAAGAAGAACGACUCCACCGUAAAAUAAUCCUUUCUUGGACACAUGUGGAAAGUACAACCUGAGUCUAAUACCCAGUUCUUUUCACCUUCAGAAUUUGAAAUCAUCAAUGCCUCUGAAACUUCAUAACCAGCAUCAACAAGUGCAGCAUUUCCUGAAUCUUGAGAGUUUCUUGAUUCAUUUCUUUCUGGGCAAUCUUUCUUGAAAUGUCCCUUCUUGUGACAAUGAAAGCAUCUAUACUUCCCUUCAGAUUUUGACUUUGAAUUGGACCUUUGUUUAUUUCCAUUUGAUCAUUUCCUUUCAAUUCUUCCUCUGGUCACAUUCAGAAUUUCAGCAUGAUUACCAUUCUUGAACUCAAUUCUUUUAUAGCUUUCCUUUGUCCAGAUAGAUGCAUGAACUUCUUCAAGAGUAAUUGUUUGUUCUCUUCCAAACAUUAUAGCAUCCUUGAAAUGUUCAUAUGAAUUUGGCAAGGCUCUAAGCAAGGUCAGAGCUUUGUCUUCAUCAUCUAUCUUGACUUCUAAAUUUUCUAAAUCAUUUAGAAUCUUGUUAAAAUCAGCAAGUUGCAUUGUAACUGGUUUAUCUUCAUCCAUUUUAAAUGAGAACAAUUGUUGUUUCAAGAAGAGUCUAUUUGAAACCGAUUUAGUCAUGUAGAGAGAUUCAAGCUUAAGCCAUAAGGCUGUUGCAGUUGGUUCCCUUGCAACUUCCCUCAAAGCUUUGUCUCCAAGGCGCAAGAUGAUAGUGCUCUUUUGCUUUUUCAAUCAAUUCUUCCUUUUCUCGUGCAGUCAUUGUUGCAGGAAGAGCCGAUUCACCCUUCAACGCAUUCACCAUGCCUUGCGGUACCAAAACAACAUGCAUCUUUAUCUUUCAUAGACCAAAAUCAUUUGAUCCAUUGAAUUUUUCAAUGUCGAAUUUUGUGGUUCCAACCAUUGUUACUCCUUUUCCCACAGACGGCGCCAAUUGUUAAAACAAUAUUGGGAUCUGCAACUUAGAUUAACCAACAAAACAUAAAACAAACAAUUGCAGAGAAAAAACGAAAACGGAGAAUGUUCAGAAAACCAGAAAAUGGAGACUGAUUAACGUUCUCCGUUUUCUGCAGUUUUGUAAAACCUGUUUUCCUUUCUGCAGUUUUCUAAAAUCAGUUUUUUCUAUCAAUGCAAACGAAAAUAAAGAAGGAUAAGGGAAGAAUAACACCAAGAAUUUACGUGUUCGGUCUCAAUUGAUGAGACCUACGUCACAAGCAAGCAAGCAAGAUUAAUCCACUAUGAAUGAUUGAACUUUACAAGAUUAAAGUUUUCUCAAGAUUGAUCUCCUAGUAUCUAUCACUGUUUAUGAACCAGCAAUACUAGCCUAUCUCUUAAUCUUUCUUUUCUCCCUUUAAUCUUUAUUUCUCUCUGAAUUUCUAUGAAUCAUGAAUUGCAUAAGUCUCUCUUAGUUUUCAGCUCUCACUAUUACAACAACAUUUUUUCUUCUGCCAUAUUACAGCUUCAUUUAUAUUAUACAAGAGUAAACUAACUAACCACCUAUGAUAACUAACUUGGCCAAAGGUAGUUAUAACAACCACUAAAGCUUAACUAACUUUAGUUAGAUGAUUUGAGACACACAUUCACAAUCUUUUUUAGAAAGGGAAUAAAUAAUUAUUUCAUAAGUUAAAGCACUUGGAACGUAGCCAUUGUCUUUCAUUUUUGAUAACAAAUCCAACGCUUCGUCCAACAAGCCCUUGUUACAAAACCCUUGGAUCAUAACAUUAUAUGUAUAGACAUCUAGAUUGUAGCCUUUGACCAAAAGAUCUUCAAAAAUCUUUUGUGAAUCCUCUAUUCUUCCACCUUUACACAAUCCGUUGAGAAGAAUAUUUUACGUGCACAUAUUUGGUUGAAUACCAUUGUCUUUAAAUUUUUUCAAUAAUGCAAUUGCCUUGUCAACAUCAUGGCUUUUGCAUAAAGCAUCCAAUAUAGAAUUGUAAGUAUAUAUAUCAGGUGAUUGGCCCGUAUGAUGCAUCUCACCAAAUAGCUCCAAAGCAUAUGUAAUUCUCCCUGAUUUGCACAAACCAUCAAUGAGGGAACUGUAAGUUACAACAUUAAGAACAAUUUUUAUGGACAACAUUUCUUUGAAGAGGUUCAUGGCUUCAUCCACCAUUUUAAUCUUACAGAGUCCAUUAAUCACGAUAGUGUAGCUCCUAACGUCAGGAGCCACUCCCCUUUGGGCCAUAUUGUUGAGUAUACUCUUAGCCUUGUUCACUUUAUUAACGAUGCAAUAUCCAUCUAUUAAAGAGUUGUAAGUAAAAAUAUCAGGUUUUAUGUCUUUUUUCAUCAUCACAAGAAACACAUUUUUAGCUUCUUUUAACUUCCCUUCCUUACAAAAAGCAUCAACCAAUAUAUUAAAAGUAUACACAUUUGGGUUGAUGUUUUCCAAUGUCAUUUUACAUAACAAAUCAAUUGCUUCUUUUAAUUGACCCAUGAUGCAAAAGCCACUAAUUAAAGCAUUGUAAGUGACAACAUUAGGAGAAAUUCUCUUGACAACCAUUUCAGAAUAUAAAUCACAUGCAUUAGAAACAAGUUUAUCUUUGCACAUACUAUCAAUAAUCGUGUUGUACAUUACCACAU
rnacentral:lncRNA from 1 species